rnacentral:rRNA from 1 species
GUAGACAAUACAGUCGCCGGCGACCGGCGGAGUGGGUGACGUAACGCGUAUGCAACCUACCUUAUACAGGGGAAUAACCUUUCGAAAGGGAGACUAACACCCCAUAGUAUUGAUUUAAGGCAUCUUAGAUUAAUUAAAUAUUUAUAGGUAUAAGAUGGGCAUGCGUAUGAUUAGCUAGUUGGUAAGGUAACGGCUUACCAAGGCGACGAUCAUUAGGGGUUCUGAGAGGAAGGUCCCCCACACUGGUACUGAGACACGGACCAGACUCCUACGAGAGGCAGCAGUGAGGAAUAUUGGUCAAUGGGCGCAAGCCUGAACCAGCCAUGCCGCGUGCAGGAAGACGGCCUUAUGGGUUGUAAACUGCUUUUACAUAAGACUAACCGUAUAUUUGCGAAUAUACCUGAAUGUAUUAUGAGAAUAAGGAUCGGCUAACUCCGUGCCAGCCGCCGC